UAUUGGAAAUUUCGUCGAUACUGCCUUGGGCUGUCUUACUUUUGAGAAAAAGCCGCUCACGCCUCUCACAUCCAUCUGGCGAACAUCGUUGACCAGGUAUCCUAUCACCGGUUCAUGCUUCAAUCUUGUUUGUGUGCUCUGCCAUACACCUACACUCGAUAACAGGCCAUGUUACAUGAACGGUUAGUCUGGCAUCCAAUAAAUUUGGUUCUGUUCUGCAUUACGAGCGCAGUUUUAGCACUGAGUAUACAAGUGUUUUUGAUUAGGGGUACCAGUAUCUCAGCUGUUGAAAUAGUAGAUGGAAUGUAUUGUGAGGUUUGGGCAAGAAACGCUGUGGAGUACGUGACAUCAUUCACCACCGUGUAUAAAACAGCAGCAGCCAACCUCAUCUUCAAAACAAGAGAAGAAGGUUGGCGGAGGG
rnacentral:lncRNA from 1 species